UACCAGCUCUCCGAGUGGUAGGGAUGAUUAUUGGGCUUAAAGCGUCCGUAGCCGGCUUAGCAAGCCUCCUGUUAAAUUCAGCGACCUAAUCGUUGAGCCGCGGGAGAUACUACUAGGCUAGGAGGCGGGAGAGGUCAACGGUACUUCCGGGGUAGGGGUGAAAUCCUAUAAUCCCGGGAGGACCACCAGUGGCGAAGGCUGUUGACUAGAACGCGCUCGACGGUGAGGGACGAAAGCUGGGGGGGCAACCGGAUUAGAUACCCGGGUAGUCCCAGCUGUAAACGAUGCGAGCUAGGUGUUGGGGUGGCUACGUGCCACUUCAGUGCCGCAGGGAAGCCAUUAAGCUCGCCGCCUGGGGAGUACGGCCGCAAGGCUGAAAACUUAAAGGAAUUGGCGGGGGAGCACCACAAGGCGUGAAGCUUGCGGUUC
rnacentral:rRNA from 1 species